rnacentral:rRNA from 1 species
AGUGAAUAGAUACCCCGGUAGUCCUAGCCGUAAACGAUACUCGCUAGGUGUCGGCCACGGUGCGACCGUUGUCGGUGCCGUAGGGAAAGCCGUGAAGCGAGCCACCUGGGAAGUACGGCCGCAAGGCUGAAACUUAAAGGAAUUGGCGGGGGAGCACCACAACGGGUGGAGCUUGCGGUUUAAUUGGAUUCAACGCCGGAAAUCUUACCGGGACCGACAGCGAUAUGAAGGCCAGGCUGAAGACUUUGCCGGAUCAGCUGAGAGGUGGUGCAUGGCCGUCGUCAGUUCGUACUGUGAAGCAUCCUGUUAAGUCAGGCAACGAGCGAGACCCACGCCCACAGUUGCCAGCGUACUCUCCGGAGUGACGGGUACACUGUGGGGACCGCCGCUGCUAAAGCGGAGGAAGGAAUGGGCAACGGUAGGUCAGUAUGCCCCGAAUAUCCCGGGCUACACGCGAGCUACAAUGGUUGGUACAAU